UGGCUCAUUAAAUCAGUUAUGGUUCAUUUGAUCGUACAGUUUACUUGGAUAACUGUGGUAAUUCUAGAGCUAAUACAUGCGAGAAGCGCCGACCUCGCGGGAGGCGUGCAUUUAUCAGACCAAAAACCGGCCGCGUCUUCGGGCGCGUUCGCCUUGGUGACUCUGGAUAACUUUGCGGAUCGCACGGUCUAGCACCGGCGACGGAUCAUUCAAGUGUCUGCCCUAUCAACUUUCGUCGGUACGGUAUUUGCCUACCGAGGUUCUUACGGGUGACGGGGAAUCAGGGUUCGAUUCCGGAGAGGGAGCCUGAGAAACGGCUACCACAUCCAAGGAAGGCAGCAGGCGCGCAAAUUACCCAUUCCCGACGCGGGGAGGUAGUGACGAAAAAUAACAAUGCAGGACUCGUUCGAGGCCCUGUAAUUGGAAUGAGUACACUUUAAAAGCUUUAACGAGUAUCCAUUGGAGGGCAAGUCUGGUGCCAGCAGCCGCGGUAAUUCCAGCUCCAAAAGUAUAUAUUUAAGUUGUUGCGGUUAAAAAGCUCGUAGUUGGAUUUUGGGCGCAGGCGGCCGGUCCGUCGCAAGGCGUGUACUGGACGUCCUGGCCUUCCCUCCGGUUCUCCGCCGGUGCUCUUGACUGAGUGUCGGAGGCGGCCGGAACGUUUACUUUGAAAAAGAAAAGAGUGUUCAAAGCAGGCUCU
rnacentral:ncRNA from 1 species